AAGUCGUAACAAGGUUUCCGUAGGUGAACCUGCGGAAGGAUCAUUCAUAAUAAGUGUUUUAUGGCACUUUUUUAAAUCCAUAUCCACCUUGUGUGCAAUGUCAGGGUUGAUUUUUCUCUCGAGGAGGAUCAACCCCAAACAUCAACUAUAUCUCAACUCUUUGUCUGAAAAAUAUUAUGAAUAAAACAAUUCAAAAUACAACUUUCAACAACGGAUCUCUUGGCUCUC
rnacentral:misc_RNA from 1 species